ensembl:lncRNA
CGCGUUUCAAACUGAUACCUGGAUCAACCUGGUAUCAGUUUGAAAAGUGCCAACUUUUAUUGGCACGUUUCUGCUGAGAUCCGGAGCUCGACUCUCUGGCGCCCAGGAAUAAAAUGAGUUGCUGUGUUUUUCACGGAGAAAAACUAAUUAACAUGGAAUAACGUCAGUCUUCGAUGGAAAAAAAGAUGCAGGCAAAAGAGGACAGCAGAUUUCUUCAAACAAUGCCUGUCCUCACCUCUGCAGUGCUGCCGUCUCCUCUAACCUGGCAUGUUUCUAAGAUGCCUGUCCUCACCUCUGCAGUGCUGCUGUCGCCUAUAACACAGCAUGUUUCUAAGGUAAGUUUUAUCCUUUUUUAUGUUGUUCUUUUGGUUUUUGUCCUGAGAUGAGGUUUGAAGUGUCUGUGGUGCAG